UACGUAGGGGGCUAGCGUUGUCCGGAAUCAUUGGGCGUAAAGAGCGCUUAGGCGGCCCGGUAAGUCCGCUGUAAAAGUCCAGGGCUCAACCCUGGAAAGCCGAUGGAUACUGCAGGGCUAGAGUCCGGAAGAGGCGAGUGGAAUUCCUGGUGUAGCGGUGGAAUGCGCAGAUAUCAGGAGGAACACCAAUAGCGAAGGCAGCUCGCUGGGACGGUACUGACGCUAAGGCGCGAAAGCGUGGGGAGCGAACAGG
rnacentral:rRNA from 1 species